CCUACGGGUGGCAGCAGUGAGGAAGAUUGGUCAAUGGGCGCGAGCCUGAACCAGCCAAGUAGCGUGAAGGAUGACUGCCCUACGGGUUGUAAACUGCUGUUAUAAAGGAAUAAAGUGAGGCACGUGUGCCUUGUUGUAUGUACUUUAUGAAUAAGGAUCGGCUAACUCCGGGCCAGCAGCCGCGGUAAUACGGAGGAUCCGAGCGUUCUCCGGAUUGAUUGGGGUUACAGGGAGCGUAGAUGGGUUGUUAAGUCAGUUGUGAAAGUUUGCGGCUCAACCGUAAACUUGCCAUUGAUACUGGCAGCCUUGAGUCCAGUUGCGCUAGGCGGCAUUCGUUGUGUAGCGGU
rnacentral:rRNA from 1 species